GUGCCAGCAGCCGCGGUAAUACGUAGGUGGCAAGCGUUGUCCGGAUUUAUUGGGUUUAAAGGGUGCGUAGGCGGUUCUAUAAGUCAGUGGUGAAAUCCGGCAGCUCAACUGUCGAUGUGCCAUUGAUACUGCAGAACUUGAGUACAGACGAGGUAGGCGGAAUUGACGGUGUAGCGGUGAAAUGCUUAGAUAUCGUCAAGAACACCGAUAGCGAAGGCAGCUUACUAGACUGUAACUGACGCUGAUGCACGAAAGUGUGGGGAUCAAACAGGAUUAGAAACCCGCGUAGUCC
rnacentral:rRNA from 1 species